GACGAACGCUGGCGGCGUGCUUAACACAUGCAAGUCGAACGGAAAGGCCCUGCUUUUGUGGGGUGCUCGAGUGGCGAACGGGUGAGUAACACGUGAGUAACCUGCCCUUGACUUUGGGAUAACUUCAGGAAACUGGGGCUAAUACCGGAUAGGAGCUCCUGCUGCAUGGUGGGGGUUGGAAAGUUUCGGCGGUUGGGGAUGGACUCGCGGCUUAUCAGCUUGUUGGUGGGGUGGUGGCUUACCAAGGCUUUGACGGGUAGCCGGCCUGAGAGGGUGACCGGCCACAUUGGGACUGAGAUACGGCCCAGACUCCUACGGGAGGCAGCAGUGGGGAAUAUUGCACAAUGGGCGGAAGCCUGAUGCAGCAACGCCGCGUGCGGGAUGACGGCCUUCGGGUUGUAAACCGCUUUCGCCUGCGACGAAGCGUGAGUGACGGUAAUGGGUAAAGAAGCACCGGCUAACUACGUG
rnacentral:rRNA from 1 species